AAAAAAUGAGAAAAAAUAAGCUUCCCAUGCCGGGAAUCGAACCCGGGCCGCGUGGGUGAAAACCACGAAUCCUAACCACUAGACCACAUGGGAUCUGUCA